ACAUUUUGAUAAUUUACUUCUUAAAUGUAAGAACGUGGUGUAUUCUGUAUAAUUUUUCCUUUAAAUGCAAAAGUAAUAUAUCUGUUUUGUUUAGUUGUUAUUUGAAUUACAUAAGCAAUGUGUAAUUUAUUUUUGUUUUCUAUUAUCAUUAUGUAACAUUUUAAAGGAUCAUGACAAGGAUCACUUUAAAUUUAGUGUCAUUUUUUUUCAUAAGCUAUGUGUAAAUUUGAUUAAUGUUUUUCAUAUCAUUCGUGUGAUGUAAUGCUAUCUUGAUACAUACUUGCGAUUCUGUUUUGAAUAGAUGAAAGCUCUUACUGUGUAAUAGUAUCUUACAUUUUCAUGUUUUGUCCUUUAAUGUAUUUCAUUUUGCAAAAUUAUGUACAUCAUCCCUGUGAUAACAACUGUGUUUGAUUAUUUUUGUAACUUAUCAUAUUUUCAUUUAUACGCGAAUGAUAUUUUCCAUUCAAAAAAGACAAUCUUUUACUGAGUAGGCACCUCGGCCGGAGAUUAUUAAGAAAUUCUCUACCUUCAACUCAGAUCUCAGGUAUUAGAACGCAGAAUGUAUAACAAUCAAGGAAAAUCCGGAGCUUUGAGACUAACUCAGAAAAAUAAGCUUCAUUUCAAGAUCAAACGAAAUUUUACUGGGUGGGCACCCAGAACUUCGUGAGUUACAUGUUCGAGAGAAAUAUAAUCUGAUAAUAUGUGCUAUCGUCUUUUAUAUUUUUAACUAUAUAUUUCAUGUCUCUUAAAAUUUUUAUUUCAAUUUAACAUGAUAGUACUGAUAUGUUUGUGUUUGCUGUCAUUUUCUCUACAAAAGAGUGUGUUUCUUCUAAACUUUUCAGCUAUGAGUAUUAAUGUAUUCAUAUUAUUUUUUCUGCGUUUCGAAUUAAUCGGACUUCAAUGAAACUGCAUUUUGAUUCUUUUUCCAUCAUAUAUAUAUUAUGUCAGUUAUCUACUGAAAAGCAUGUUAUGAAUUAUUAUAUUUGUCUUAAUGAAAUUAUUUUCAUAUUUUCUAUUUUUUGCAAUGUUCAAGUGUUAUAUGAGUGCAAGAGACUUCUCCAUUUCUGUUCUAAAUUUUUUAAAGAUGAUAUUGGUAUAACCUUUAAUUCUGAAGUGACAUUAUGCGAAUCCAAGUGGAAAGGGUCAGCGAUCAGUGUUAUACAACUACAAUGAUAUAUGAACGUUAUGAAAUGAAAGGGAAGUAAAGGCUAAAAUAUUUGCUAUGUUGGCUUACAUCAGUUAUUUCUCCUUUUAUGUUAUUAGAGCUUUACUUACAGUUCUCUCUUGUGUUGAAAACUACAAUAAAAUGUCUAGUCUGAUAAUCGUGUUAGAACCGUAUUUUUGUUUUAUUGUGAUUUCAUCUACCGGAAUCAUUUGUAUUAUGUUUACUCUUUCUGAUACCAUGUUUUAUUUUAUAUUUUGUGUUCGUAUAUUCUUUUGUACUACUGUAAUAUCACCGAAUUUCCUCAGUCACUAAUAUGAACAAAUAAAUAAGAAGAAUAAGAAGGUACAGAUAUGAACUAAUGUAAGUUUGAUUAUCAGUACUGGUAUUUGGCGGGAGUCGCCUGUCUGAUAUAAGAGCUGCUUAUUAGAACACCUGUGGAAUAUUGUCAAUUAUUCUUCUUUAAAUAUUUUCAUUUUUACUUUUCCCUUUUAGCGUCACAUUAACGCAGAUAUAUUUACAUGUAUUACUUUGAUAAUUUAAUUGAUACUAUUGUAUAUUUUUGUAUCGACUUUCAAAUGUUAAUCACUAAUUGUGUAUCAUGUUGAACUUGAAAAGACAAUAAUUUUUUAUAUUGUCGUAAAAAUACAAUUCUUAAAAGAUAAUUGUUUACUUUUUACUCCAAUUCACAAAUACAUACCAUUACAUAAUCAGUUUAUCUGUGACUUUAAUGAUGUUUACUUAUUCUUAAGUACUUUCCAUUAAAAUAGGUAAUGAAUGAGCAUAUGUGUCAUUUUGACAUUUCUUGUCAAUUAUUACAUAAAUAAAUAAUUCAAACUAAGAGUUGUGAUCAUCAGAAACUUCAAUAUGUCACCAUUCAUCUAUGUUUAAUUAUAUACGAAAGAAGAAAUGUAUACAAUGUAGCACAUGCAAAGAUUUUUUCUGUCUUUUUCUUAUUAUUAGAUCAGUGGAUAUCAUAAGAAUUUUAACCACAACUUUUUGUUGACAAAAAAAAGCACACGUCAAUGUUUGUAGUUAAAUCUUUUAUUAUUCAAAUUAAAGGUCAGAGUAGGAAUCUUUCAAUUGGUUCUACAUGUAACAUGUAUUUUUUUGUGAAUAAAAUUAUUGUAUCGUA